AAUUUAAUAAUUUUUUAAAUUGCUUUGUCCAGUUAGAGUUUUUGGAAGAAUUAAUAUAGGAUAAUUUUUCAAGAAAUUCUUUAUUUGCUUGAACUGUGACAACUUUU
rnacentral:sRNA from 1 species